UACGUAGGGUGCAAGCGUUAAUCGGAAUUACUGGGCGUAAAGCGUGCGCAGGCGGUUGUGCAAGACCGAUGUGAAAUCCCCGGGCUUAACCUGGGAAUGGCAUUUGGGACUGCAAGGCUGGAGUGCGGCAGAGGAGACUGGAAUUCCUGGUGUAGCAGUGAAAUGCGUAGAUAUCAGGAGGAACACCGAUGGCGAAGGCAGGUCUCUGGGCUGACACUGACGCUCAUGCACGAAAGCGUGGGGAGCAAACAGG
rnacentral:rRNA from 1 species